rnacentral:rRNA from 1 species
UCCUACGGGGCGCAGCAGUGGGGGAUAUUGCACAAUGGGGGAAACCCUGAUGCAGCGACGCCGCGUGAGUGAAGAAGUAUUUCGGUACGUAAAGCUCUAUCAGCAGGGAAGAAAGUGACGGUACCUGAAAAAGAAGCUCCGGCUAAAUACGUGCCAGCAGCCGCGGUAAUACGUAUGGAGCAAGCGUUAUCCGGAUUUACUGGGUGUAAAGGGAGAGUAGGUGGCAGAGCAAGUCCGAAGUGAAACCCCAAAGCUCAACUAUGGGAAUGCUUUAGAAACUGCUCAGCUAGAGUGCAGGAGAGGCA